rnacentral:rRNA from 2 species
UGCAGUCGAGCGAAGAGAUGGGAGCUUGCUCCCUGAUCUUAGCGGCGGACGGGUGAGUAACACGUGGGCAACCUGCCCUGCAGACUGGGAUAACUCCGGGAAACCGGAGCUAAUACCGGGUAAUACAUCGCACCGCAUGGUGCAAUGUUGAAAGUUGGCUUUCUGAGCUAACACUGCAGGAUGGGCCCGCGGCGCAUUAGCUAGUUGGUAAGGUAAUGGCUUACCAAGGCGACGAUGCGUAGCCGACCUGAGAGGGUGAUCGGCCACACUGGGACUGAGACACGGCCCAGACUCCUACGGGAGGCAGCAGUAGGGAAUCUUCCGCAAUGGACGAAAGUCUGACGGAGCAACGCCGCGUGAGUGACGAAGGCCUUCGGGUCGUAAAGCUCUGUUGUUAGGGAAGAACAAGUACCGUUCGAAUAGGGCGGUACCUUGACGGUACCUAACCAGAAAGCCACGGCUAACUACGUGCCAGCAGCCGCGGUAAUACGUAGGUGGCAAGCGUUGUCCGGAAUUAUUGGGCGUAAAGCGCGCGCAGGCGGUCUUUUAAGUCUGAUGUGAAAGCCCACGGCUCAACCGUGGAGGGUCAUUGGAAACUGGAGGACUUGAGUGCAGAAGAGGAGAGUGGAAUUCCACGUGUAGCGGUGAAAUGCGUAGAUAUGUGGAGGAACACCAGUGGCGAAGGCGGCUCUCUGGUCUGUAACUGACGCUGAGGCGCG